rnacentral:misc_RNA from 1 species
UACAGAGGGUGCAAGCGUUGUCCGGAAUUAUUGGGCGUAAAGCGCGCGCAGGCGGUCUCUUAAGUCUGAUGUGAAAGCCCACGGCUCAACCGUGGAGGGUCAUUGGAAACUGGGGGACUUGAGUACAGAAGAGGAGAGUGGAAUUCCACGUGUAGCGGUGAAAUGCGUAGAGAUGUGGAGGAACACCAGUGGCGAAGGCGGCUCUCUGGUCUGUAACUGACGCUGAGGCGCGAAAGCGUGGGGAGCAAACAGG